GCCUCCAGUGAUGAUAUCCUCAACCUCCCUCAGCUUUGUCGUCCCAAGUUUCUUUGUUCACUGUGUCUCAAGGUAAUCAGAGUUGGACUGGUUCUAGAUGCGCUGCCAGGCUGCAGAUUUGUGAAGGAGCUGCUGUGUCCAUCUGUGUCUGGUUCACCUGGAAUGAGAGCAGUUCACUGGAGCAACUGGAAUGAACAACCACACGCAAUCUGAGCAAAAGGACUCCCAGAGCUGUGGAGCAACUGUCAGGAAUACUAAGCACUUCCAGGUUGUCAUUCGACUGUGUCCUCAGGACCAGAGUCAAUUGCAGACAGGGUCAGGGGGAAAGCAUUUUACACAUUAGCAUUGAGGGCUACCACGCCGCACUUACUGUAUGGGUCAAGAUACUCCAUCAGCGUGGCUGAACCGAGCAGGAUUGUUGUUGACACGGGCCGGUCUCUCGUGGGAUUCCUCUUGCAGGGCUACAAUGGCUGUGUCAUCGCAUAUGGCUCCCCUUGCAGUGGAAAGACUUACACAAUGAUGGGCCCCAGCUUCACUGGCACGAACCGAGGCAUCAUCAGCCGAGCAGUCGAAGACAUCUUUAACUCACCACAGGCAUCCAGUUGCAGAGUCAGAGUGUCCUUCUAUCACAUCUCAAAUGAGAAAAUAUAUGAUCUGUUGGUGAGAUUUUUAUUUAGUCCAGUCAGCCAGUGAAGCCUAAAUUAAAGGUACAUGCAUGAUAUUUUAAGUUAUGUUCUUCUGGUAAACAAUGCAGCAGGGAUCCAAGCUUGAGCUCUAGCAGCUUAAUACGCCUGGAAUCCUGGCCUUUUUAUACUUUUCAUCACUCUUAACCAGUUAUCCCAUGUAAUACAUAUUAUAUAUUUAGGACCAGUCAAAAUGUCCUUCCUACUCUAACAUAGUUAAUGUCAAAUUCUGCUCUUGGGAUAAAGUAAUGGCAUUUCACUUUUUAUCACCUCAGGACAACCAGCCAACAGAAGUGACUCGUAUCCAUGAUGGGGAGGAGGCAGUGGUGCUGGAGGGCUUGAAGGAGGUGGAGGUGAACUCCCUGCAGGACCUGAUUCAGCUGUAUCGGCGUGGGGCAGCCAACAGGCAGGCAGGUGUGAGCACUCAGCUUUACUCUACUCCUCCCUUAUGAAAAAAAUAUAUAUGAAAUAAAUAUGAAAUAGUGCAUUUCA
rnacentral:lncRNA from 1 species